rnacentral:rRNA from 1 species
GAUGAACGCUGGCGGCGUGCCUAAUACAUGCAAGUCGAGCGAACGGACGAGAAGCUUGCUUCUCUGAUGUUAGCGGCAGACGGGUGAGUAACACGUGGAUAACCUACCUAUAAGACUGGGAUAACUUCGGGAAACCGGAGCUAAUACCGGAUGAUAUUUUGAACCGCAUGGUUCAAAAGUGAAAGACGGUCUUGCUGUCACUUAUAGAUGGAUCCGCGCUGCAUUAGCUAGUUGGUAAGGUAACGGCUUACCAAGGCAACGAUGCAUAGCCGACCUGAGAGGGUGAUCGGCCACACUGGAACUGAGACACGGUCCAGACUCCUACGGGAGGCAGCAGUGGGGAAUCUUCCGCAAUGGGCGAAAGCCUGACGGAGCAACGCCGCGUGAGUGAUGAAGGUCUUCGGAUCGUAAAACUCUGUUAUUAGGGAAGAACAGAUGUGUAAGAAACUGUGCACAUCUUGACGGUACCUAAUCAGAAAGCCACGGCUAACUACGUG